CAUGGCUGUGAUGCGUAGCUGGUCUGAGAGGACGAUCAGCCAGACUGGGACUGAGACACGGNCCAGACUCCUACGGGAGGCAGCAGUUCAGAAUCUUGCCCAAUGGACGAAAGUCUGAGGCAGCCAUGCCGCGUGUGUGAAGAAGGCCCUCGGGUCGUAAAGCACUGUCAGGAGGGACGAUAGUGACGGUACCUCCUAAGGAAGCCACGGGCUAAUUACGUGCCAGCAGCCGCGGGUAUACCGUAAGUGGCGAGCGUUAUCCGGAUUUACUGGGCAUAAAGCGUUCGUAAGGCGGCGUAGUAAGUUGGAUUUGAAAAGACCGGGGCUCAAACUCCGGAACCGGAUCCAAAACUACUAUGCUAGAGCGUAUCAGAGGGCAGUGGAAUUCCCGGUGUUACCGGUAAUAUGCGUAGAUAUCGGGAGGAAACAACCAGUAGGCGAAGGGCAAUUGCUUGGGUACUGCUAGACGCUGAGGAACGAAAGCUAGGGGAACGAACGGGGAUUAGAUACCCCCGGUAGUCCUAAGCCGUAAACGUUUGGGCACUACGGUGUCGGGAGCUUCGACCCUCCUCGGUGCAGCCAGUAACGGCUUUAAGUGCCCCGCCUGGGAAGUACGGCCGCAAGGUUAAACUUCAAAGGAAUUGACGGGUCCCCGCACAAGCAGUGGAGCAUGUGGUUUAAUUCGAUGCUACGCGAAGAACCUUACCCGGACUUGACAUCCCAUGGAAAGCCUGGUAACCCCCGGGCCCCUUUCGGGCCGUGGUGACAGGUGGUGCAUGGCUGUCGUCAGCUCGUGCCGUGAGGUGUUGGAUUAAGUUCCGCAACGAGCGCAACCCUCGUCGUUAGUUGCCAUCAUUAAGUUGGGCACUCUAGCGAGACUGCCAUCGUCAAGAUGGAGGAAGGUGGGGAUGACGUCAAGUCAUCAUGCCCCUUACGUCCGGGGCUACACACGUGCUACAAUGG
rnacentral:rRNA from 1 species